rnacentral:tRNA from 1 species
GGAGAGGUGGCUGAGUGGUCGAAAGCGGCACACUGCUAACGUGUUAACCUUUAAUCGGGUUCCAGGGUUCAAAUCCCUGCCUCUCCGCCA